CCUACGGGGGGCUGCAGUGGGGAAUAUUGGACAAUGGGGGGAACCCUGAUCCAGCCAUGCCGCGUGUGUGAAGAAUGCCCUCGGGUUGUAAAGCACUUUCAGUGAGGAAGAACGCCUGGUGGUUAAUACCCAUCAGGAAAGACAUCACUCACAGAAGAAGCACCGGCUAACUCCGUGCCAGCAGCCGCGGUAAUACGGAGGGUGCGAGCGUUAAUCGGAAUUACUGGGCGUAAAGCGCGCGUAGGUGGCUUGAUAAGCCGGUUGUGAAAGCCCCGGGCUCAACCUGGGAACGGCAUCCGGAACUGUCAAGCUAGAGUGCAGGAGAGGAAGGUAGAAUUCCCGGUGUAGCGGUGAAAUGCGUAGAGAUCGGGAGGAAUACCAGUGGCGAAGGCGGCCUUCUGGACUGACACUGACACUGAGGUGCGAAAGCGUGGGUAGCAAACAGGAUUAGAUACCCCAGUAGUC
rnacentral:rRNA from 1 species